UACGUAGGGGGCGAGCGUUGUCCGGAUUUAUUGGGCGUAAAGAGCUCGUAGGCGGUUUAGCAAGUCGGGUGUGAAAACUCCGGGCUCAACUCGGAGACGCCACUCGAUACUGCUAUGACUCGAGUCCGGUAGGGGAGUGCGGAAUUCCUGGUGUAGCGGUGAAAUGCGCAGAUAUCAGGAGGAACACCGGUGGCGAAGGCGGCACUCUGGGCCGGAACUGACGCUGAGGAGCGAAAGCGUGGGGAGCGAACAGG
rnacentral:rRNA from 1 species